GUGCCAGAGUGUGAUGGGAACGGUUUGCUGGAUUGCUAGAAUAAAAGAAAUGACUUUGCUCAUCAAUUGAGAGACGAUGGGGUCCUGCGAUAGAAGCGGGUAAGGCGUAGAGCCUGAUGGGACCAGAUCCAGAUGAUAUUGAGGAUUGGCCCAGUCCCUCAUUGAGGAUCAACGGAGAUCACGCUGUCCCAGACCUGAACAUUCCUGAGACUAAAUUGUAACUAAAUUGGAAGCCGGAACUGCUUUGAUGAGCUGAUGCUGAGAAGAGGAAAAAGCCUAAUUCAGAUAUCUGGUCCUGCCUGAAGUGUCCCCUCCUCCACCGCCGCCACCUGCACCUCGUCCUCCUGCCUAAGUCCCUCCUCCUUUGGGGAGAGCUGAGCCUUCUGCCCCUGAUGCUGAAGAAGGGGGGGGGGCAGUGGGACUGAUGCCACAGCCUUCUGUGAAACAGGAAGAGUUUCUCCACGACGGAGAUGAAGGUGGAAGUGGGGGAAGACGGUUUCACAGUGACCUCAGAGGCUUUAGGACUGUUUUGUUUAUUAGAAAAAGAAAACUUUGCCACUUGGUGGCUAGUGGAUGACACAAUCUUGAGAGAGAGAGACUGUAUCCCUGAAGGACAAGAACAGCCUGAAAGAUUGCAGUGCAUUGCUCAGUUUUCUGGAAAAGGAGGGGCUGAGUGGAUAAACUAGGAGAGACUCUUGUGCUUGAUUCCCUCUAUGUGUAUCCCAGUAUCCCUUAUCUAGAGAAGCAGAGGAGGGAGUGAGAAAAGUACAUGCAGAUCUGGUGAAAAGGGGGGCUAUUAAGGAAAUAAGCUAUUCUCCAGUCAAUUCUCCUAUCUUACCUGUGAAAAACGCAAAUGGUAC